rnacentral:rRNA from 1 species
UACGUAGGGGGCUAGCGUUGUCCGGAUUUAUUGGGCGUAAAGAGCGUGUAGGCGGCCAGAUAGGUCCGUUGUGAAAACUCGAGGCUCAACCUCGAGACGCCGAUGGAAACCAUCUGGCUAGAGUCCGGAAGAGGCGAGUGGAAUCCCGGUGUAGCGGUGAAAUGCGCAGAUAUCGGGAGGAACACCAAUGGCGAAGGCAGCUCGCUGGGACGUUACUGACGCUGAGACGCGAAAGCGUGGGGAGCAAACAGG